UACAGAGGUGGCAAGCGUUGUUCGGAAUUACUGGGCGUAAAGGGCGCGUAGGCGGCCCGUCAAGUCCCGUGUGAAAGCCCCCGGCUCAACCGGGGAACUGCACGGGAAACUAGCAGGCUUGAGUUUGGGAGAGGGACGCGAAAUUCCAGGUGUAGCGGUGAAAUGCGUAGAUAUCUGGAGGAACACCGGUGGCGAAGGCGGCGUCCUGGACCAACACUGACACUGAGGAGCGAAAGCCAGGGGAGCAAACGGG
rnacentral:rRNA from 1 species